rnacentral:rRNA from 1 species
AGAGUUUGAUCCUGGCUCAGGAUGAACGCUGGCGGCGUGCCUAACACAUGCAAGUCGAACGAAGAGGCUCCUUCGGGAGUACUUCAGUGGCGGACGGGUGAGUAACACGUAGGUGACCUGCCCCGAAGCAGGGGAUAACGGCUCGAAAGGGCCGCUAAUACCCAAAAGGGUCGCGAGUCGCAUCGCGAUCAGAGUUACGGCGUUUCGGGAGGGGCCUGCGGCCCAUCAGCUAGUUGGUAGGGUAAUGGCCUACCAAGGCGACGACGGGUAGGGGGCCUGAGAGGGUGAUCCCCCACAUUGGCACUGACACACGGGCCAAACUCCUACGGGAGGCAGCAGUGAGGAAUAUUGAGCAAUGGGCGAAAGCCAGACUCAGCAACGCCGCGUGGACGAUGAAGGCCUUCGGGUCGUAAAGUCCUUUUCAGGGGGACGAGUGAGGACGGUACCUCUGGAAUAAGUCACGGCUAACUACGUGCCAGCAGCCGCGGUAAAACGUAGGUGGCGAGCGUUAUCCGGAUUCACUGGGCGUAAAGCGCCUGCAGGCGGUCUUGUAAGUGGGGUGUUAAAUCUCCCGGCUUAACUGGGAGGGGUCAUUCCAUACUGCGAGACUGGAGGGCAGAAGAGGGAAGCGGAAUUCCCGGUGUAGUGGUGAAAUGCGUAGAUAUCGGGAGGAACACCAGUGGCGAAGGCGGCUUCCUGGCCUGCUCCUGACGCUAAGAGGCGAAAGCUAGGGUAGCGAACGGGAUUAGAAACCCCGGUAGUCCUAGCCGUAAACGAUGGAUGCUAGGUGUAGGUGGUCCUAACCCCAUCUGUGCCGAAGCUAACGCGUUAAGCAUCCCGCCUGGGGACUACGGCCGCAAGGUUAAAACUCAAAGGAAUUGACGGGGACCCGCACAAGCAGCGGAGCGUGUGGUUUAAUUCGAGUUUAAUUCGAUGCUACACGAAGAACCUUACCCAGGUUUGACAUGCAGGUAGUAGUGAAGCGAAAGCGGAACGACCCUUCGGGGAGCCUGCACAGGUGCUGCAUGGCUGUCGUCAGCUCGUGCCGUGAGGUGUUUGGUUAAGUCCACUAACGAGCGCAACCCUUGUCGUCAGUUACAUGUGUCUGACGAGACUGCCGGCCUUAAGCCGGAGGAAGGUGGGGAUGAUGUCAAGUCAGCAUGGCCUUUAUAUCUGGGGCUACACACACGCUACAAUGGCCGGUACAAUGGGUCGCCAACCCGCGAGGGGGAGCCAAUCCUA